GACGAACGCUGGCGGCGUGCCUAAUACAUGCAAGUAGAACGCACAGUUUAUACCGUAGCUUGCUACACCAUAGACUGUGAGUUGCGAACGGGUGAGUAACGCGUAGGUAACCUGCCUGGUAGCGGGGGAUAACUAUUGGAAACGAUAGCUAAUACCGCAUAAUAUUAAUUAUUGCAUGAUAAUUAAUUGAAAGGUGCAAUUGCACCACUACCAGAUGGACCUGCGUUGUAUUAGCUAGUAGGUGAGGUAACGGCUCACCUAGGCGACGAUACAUAGCCGACCUGAGAGGGUGAGCGGCCACACUGGGACUGAGACACGGCCCAGACUACUACGGGAGGCAGCAGUAGGGAAUCUUCGGCAAUGGACGAAAGUCUGACCGAGCAACGCCGCGUGAGUGAAGAAGGUUUUCGGAUCGUAAAGCUCUGUUGUAAGAGAAGAACGGGUGUGAGAGUGGAAAGUUCACACUGUGACGGUAUCUUACCAGAAAGGGACGGCUAACUACGUG
rnacentral:rRNA from 1 species